AUAGGUUCCCUGGAGAGAAUCUCAUUUUGUACUUCUGAUGGGUGUGUGGCUCCUUGCUUAUUGCAAGGUGCUGAGUCACUGACACCAUCCAGAGAGCAAGCAGGACUGGCUUAUGGCCUGAAGUGAGCGAGCUUGUUCCCUACCGAGUAAUGACUGGUAGGGACAGCCUUCCAUCUAAGAGUGUGACUCUCUUCCUAGGGCACUUUGCUACCAUUUUUCGCUCUCCUUUCAUGGUAAUUCCCUCUCUAAAUUGCCUGCCCUAGAUAAGAACCCAGUACUUCACUGGCUGAUACAUGACCACUGCUGGAAUAAGCAAGGACUCAGUGGGUUUUGUUGUUGUUUUAACUAUGUCUGUAACGCUGCUUGUUUUAUUAUAAACAAAAGAGCACCAUUAGAUGGUGCUCCAGAGCCCAUUUUUACUAGCCAGACCUCUUGCUCCCUUUCCUCAAGCCCCCGCUUAAAUGUUAGGUCCUCCUAGAGCUUUAUCCUGACCUCUCCCCUGCCCAUCUCCCAUCCCUGCUACCUUCAAUACCCGCCUUGUGUUCAGUUCAGCCACUCAGUCGUGUCUGACUCGUUGCGACCCCAUGGACUGCAACAUGCCAGGCUUCCCUGUCCAUCACCUACUCCCAGAGCUUCCUCAAGCUCAUGUCCAUCCAGUCGGUGAUGCCAUCCAACCAGCUCAUCCUCUGUCGUCCCCUUUCCUCCUGCUUUCAAUCUUGUGUUACCCCCUCACUUGUGUUUCUCUUAAGCAAUUACACUUAUAGUCAGGUGUAGCAAAUAUAAAUGAUGCGUUCUUGAAACCGUGGGUAAUAAUUAGUCAAACGCAUUUCACCUGAGUAAUCAAGGUCGUUUUUUUGUUUUUUUUUAAGACUCGCAUGCCCUUCAAAUGGCAUGUUUUCCCCAAGUGUUUUCUAAGAACUUGGAGUCAGCUGCAUCUAGUUCAGGCUGAGCCAGUUCAGACUGGAUAGGAUCACAGACUCUCCAACCGGGCACGCAUGAAGGUCAGAUUUUCUCCAUCAGAGGGCCAAAAACUCCACCCUAAGAACGUGGAGAGGCCCGUGGCCCAAUUAUGCCUGCAUAGAACUAGGAUGACCAUACCUUUUUGCCAUCACACUUCCCCACAGUCCCCACAUUCCCCAAGCUGUCCACGUCUGAGACUGCCCAGCUCCUUUAUUAUUCAUCUGUAAAUACCCCCAGCCCCUUACCUUCCAUGAAGUGGAUUGGAGGAAUGGUCUCCUAAGUAAUGAGAAUGAGGUUCUACAGAGCUGGAACCUGAGGACUAAAGAGAAGCAAGCCCCUACCCUCCAUCAUGCCUCUUUUAAGAGCAUCACGGAGCAGGUGAGUUUCUAUUGUCCUCUGUUCACUAGGAGCAGCAGUGAAUGCUGACUUGGAAACUUGAUACUGAAACUAUGAUGCUCCUCAGUGACUUCAGGUGAUACAGAGACUAAAGAAAUUUAACUCUCAAAUUAUCCCAGAGACUAUCAUGAAUAAUAUUUUUAUACAAAGAUAUACAUCAAAUGCCCCAUGCAUAAGGAAAACCUUUAGUAUUAAUAUUUAAGCACACAGACCUGGCUGUAGAAUUUAUGAGUGUAUUCAAGACCUGAAAGGAAUGAAACUGUUACCAAAUUUCCUCUGACUAAAACUGGUUUUUUGACCUUCACAUUUGGGAACAGGACAAAGGUAGUUCAAAGUCACCACUAAGCCUGAAUUGAUUUUGGUCGUUUUCUUCCAUAUAGCUCUAAGCCCUAUCCUUGUCUCCAUCUCUGUCUCUUUCUAAUCUCUGUAUCUACCUCUACGCUUAUCUCCCUAAUGUAUCUAUUGUCAGACUUCACUGUGCACAGUAAUGUGGGGUUGUAAAGAUGGUCUCACAAAGGCCUACAAAUAACUUAUACUCUUUUGAUACAAUUCACUGCCUGAGGGUUCCCACUGCUAUAGCCAAUCUAUUUUCCUAAAUGUGUUCUGGAAGUUCAGGGGUCAUAUCUUCUGUGUAAGGUCUAUAAGACUAUGGCCCUCAGAAAUCAUUCUUUCUUUCUUGAACAUUUUUGGGGUAUUUUUCAGGUUGCGAUAUACCCAGGGGAAGAAGGUGGCUGGACCUGUCUUCAUUCAUUUUGUUUUUGUUUGUUAUUUCUUCUAAGAUAAUGCCAUGUGACGCCUAUAGAAAAUUCAAGGAGUUUAAACAUAUCUAAAGAGGAAAGCAUUUAGAGAUACUGCUACCACGACUUUGAAGCUCUGUCUUUCUGGGCAAUCUUAUUACAUAUAUAAAUACACAGUUUUGUAUUGAUGGCACCUUACGAUACCCGAUGACUUUCCAGCUUACUGUUUCGUUGGAUAAUUUAUCAGGGAGAUACUUCAUGUCAAUAAGUAAAAUUUACUUCAGUUUAUAACAGGCACUUGGUAAGACACAGGUUCAAUCCCUCGGUGAGGAAGAUCCCCUGGAGAAGCAAAUGGCAACCCCCUCCAGUAUUCUUGCCUGGAAAAUUCCAUGGACAGUGAACCUGGUGGGUUGCAGUCCAUGGGGUCAGAAAGAGUCAGACAUGACUUAGCGACUAAACAACAGCAGCAAUCUGGAUUUUUAGGAGGACUAGGAAAAUGCA